rnacentral:rRNA from 1 species
CCUACGGGGGGCAGCAGUGAGGAAUAUUGGGCAAUGGACGAGAGUCUGAACCAGCCAAGUAGCGUGAAGGAUGACUGCCCUAUGGGUUGUAAACUUCUGGUAUAAAGGAAUAAAACGAGGCACGUGUGCCUGUUUGCAUGUACUUUAUGAAUAAGGAUCGGCUAACUCCGUGCCAGCAGCCGCGGUAAUACGGAGGAUCCGAGCGUUAUCCGGAUUUCUGGGGUUUAAAGGGAGCGUAGAUGGGUUUUUAAGUCAGUUGUGAAAGUUUGCGGCUCAACCGUAAAAUUGCAAUUGAUACUGGCAGUCUUGAGUACAGUUGCGGUAGGCGCACUUCGUGGUGUCGCGG